GAUGAACGCUGGCGGCGUGCCUAAUACAUGCAAGUCGAGCGAACGGACGAGAAGCUUGCUUCUCUGAUGUUAGCGGCGGACGGGUGAGUAACACGUGGAUAACCUACCUAUAAGACUGGGAUAACUUCGGGAAACCGGAGCUAAUACCGGAUGAUAUUUUGAACCGCAUGGUUCAAAAGUGAAAGACGGUCUUGCUGUCACUUAUAGAUGGAUCCGCGCUGCAUUAGCUAGUUGGUAAGGUAACGGCUUACCAAGGCAACGAUGCAUAGCCGACCUGAGAGGGUGAUCGGCCACACGGGAACGGAGACACGGUCCAGACUACGACGGGAGGCAGCAGUAGGGAAUCUUCCGCAAUGGGCGAAAGCCUGACGGAGCAACACCGCGUGAGUGAUGAAGGUCUUCGGAUCGUAAAACUCUGUUAUUAGGGAAGAACAUAUGUGUAAGUAACUGUGCACAUCUUGACGGUACCUAAUCAGAAAGCCACGGCUAACUACGUG
rnacentral:rRNA from 1 species